rnacentral:lncRNA from 1 species
GCCACUAUCUAUUUACAUUUUGUUUGGAUAUUCGAAUAAGUUAUCUAAAUAUAACUUAUUCGGUACAAAGAUUUUUUUCUUAUGAUUAAUUGCAUGUAAGAAAUGUGUUUAACUGUUGCUCUCUGAAAAGCCUUGCUAUCCAUGAUUUGGCAGGAUACCGUAAUUUACAUACGAUGAAAGUUAUUUUAUAUAUUUCAAAACAAUAAUUUAAAAGCCAAAUAUGAUAUCAAAUUCUGAACAUUAAUUAAUUAUAUUUCUCAUCUAUAUAUAUAUAUAUAUAUAUAU